UACUCCUACGGGAGGCAGCAGUAGGGAAUCUUCCGCAAUGGGCGAAAGCCUGACGGAGCAACGCCGCGUGAGUGAUGAAGGUCUUCGGAUCGUAAAACUCUGUUAUUAGGGAAGAACAUAUGUGUAAGUAACUGUGCACAUCUUGACGGUACCUAAUCAGAAAGCCACGGCUAACUACGUGCCAGCAGCCGCGGUAAUACGUAGGUGGCAAGCGUUAUCCGGAAUUAUUGGGCGUAAAGCGCGCGUAGGCGGUUUUUUAAGUCUGAUGUGAAAGCCCACGGCUCAACCGUGGAGGGUCAUUGGAAACUGGAAAACUUGAGUGCAGAAGAGGAAAGUGGAGUUCCAUGUGUAGCGGUGAAAUGCGCAGAGAUAUGGAGGAACACCAGUGGCGAAGGCGACUUUCUGGUCUGUAACUGACGCUGAUGUGCGAAAGCGUGGGGAUCAAACAGGAUUAGAUACCCUGGUAGUCCACGCCGUAAACGAUGAGUGCUAAGUGUUAGGGGGUUUCCGCCCCUUAGUGCUGCAGCUAACGCAUUAAGCACUCCGCCUGGGGAGUACGACCGCAAGGUUGAAACUCAAAGGAAUUGACGG
rnacentral:rRNA from 1 species